AACGAACGCUGGCGGCAUGCCUAACACAUGCAAGUCGAACGAGUAUGGUCUAGCUUGCUAGAACCCAGCUAGUGGCAAACGGGUGAGUAACGCGUGGGAACCUUCCUAAUAGUAUGGAAUAACCACUGGAAACGGUGAUUAAUACCAUAUACGCCCUGAGGGGGAAAGAUUUAUCGCUAUUAGACGGGCCCGCGUUGGAUUAGCUAGUUGGUAGGGUAACGGCCUACCAAGGCUAUAAUGUAAAGCUGAUUUUAGGGGAUGAUGAGCCACACUGGAACAGAGACGCUGUCGAGACUCCUACGGGAGGCAGCAGUGGGGAAUAUUGGACAAUAGGCGAAAGCCUGAUCCAGCAAUGCCGCGUGAGUGAAGAAGGCUUUAGGGUUGUAAAGCUCGUUCAGUAGGGAAGAUAAUGACGGUACCUACAGAAGAAGCACCGGCUAACUCCGUGCCAGCAGCCGCGGUAA
rnacentral:rRNA from 1 species